GACGAAGGAUGCAAGCGUUAUCCGGAUUCAUUGGGUUUAAAGGGAGCGUAGGUGGCCUUAUAAGUCAGUGGUGAAAUCUCUGGGCUUAACCCAGAAAUUGCCAUUGAUACUGUAGGGCUUGAGUAUAGAUGCCGUUGGCGGAAUAUGACAUGUAGUGGUGAAAUACAUAGAGAUGUCAUAGAACACCGAUUGCGAAGGCAGCUAACGAAACUAUAACUGACACUGAGGCUCGAAAAGUGUGGGGAUCAAACAGG
rnacentral:rRNA from 1 species